rnacentral:misc_RNA from 1 species
UUUUUUUUGUAUAUCUCUUGCUGUUGCUUCAUCAUGGCCGAAAAUUCCAAGAAAGUGAUGCAGCAUGAUCAACUUUCCCUGCUUAACUUUGACCACCCAGGCGUGUCGCUGGUUAAUGUCCCUCUAUCUUACCUGAAGCCAGUCAAUGUUAAUUGCAUUGGGGGCCAAAGACAAACUUUGUUUUGUUAAUGAUGAAUGCUAGAAACCGGAGGAUGGAUCUCCAGAGUCUGAGAAAUGGCUCAAGGUUGAUAGCAUGGUCAUUUCAUAGAUCUUAAGCUCGAUGUCAAAAGAAAUAGUUACAGCUUUUCUAUAAGUGUCAUCAGCUAAAAAUCUCUGGGAAGAACUUGCUCAGAGAUUUAGUGUAUGCAAUGGACCGUUGUUGUAUCAAAUCAACAGAGAAUUAUGCUCACUCAGUCAAGGUAAUAUGCCACUUAUAACUUACUUUACUAAACAAGUUGUGGGAUGAGUUAGCUUGCCUUAAACCAUUCCCAGUAUGUGAAUGUUGAGCAUCAAAAGAAAUUUACUAAAAUGGAAGAAAACACCAAAUUGAUUCAGUUUCUUAUGGGAUUGAACCUUUCAUAUGGCCAUGUCCGAAAUGGAACCAAAUUCUUUUAAUGGAACCAUUCCCACCUAUCAACAAAGCCUACUCCAUGGUCCUGCAAGUUGAAACACAAAGAGAGGCUAAUACUUUUACAAUUGAUAACAUAAGA